UACGUAGGGUGCAAGCGUUGUCCGGAAUUAUUGGGCGUAAAGAGCUCGUAGGCGGUCUGUUGCGUCGGCUGUGAAAACCCGGGGCUCAACCCCGGGCCUGCAGCCGAUACGGGCAGACUAGAGUUCGGCAGGGGAGACUGGAAUUCCUGGUGUAGCGGUGAAAUGCGCAGAUAUCAGGAGGAACACCGGUGGCGAAGGCGGGUCUCUGGGCCGAUACUGACGCUGAGGCGCGAAAGCCAGGGGAGCGAACGGG
rnacentral:rRNA from 1 species